rnacentral:tRNA from 1 species
GUUUAAGUAGUUUAAAAAAAAACUUAAAAUUUUCAAUUUUAAAUUAGACUCAGUCUCUUAAGUU